rnacentral:rRNA from 1 species
UUUUUGGGUAGGGGAGCGUCCUGCUCUGGGUGAAGCUGCCUGGUGAUGGGUGGUGGACGGGGUGGGAGUGAGAAUGCAGGCAUGAGUAGCGUUUCGUGGGUGAGAAUCCUACGCGCUGAUUGACUAAGGGUUCCAGGGGCAGGUUUGUCCGCCCUGGGUUAGUCGGGUCCUAAGGCGAGGCCGACAGGCGUAGUCGAUGGGUGACCAGUUGAUAUUCUGGUACCGUUUGUUUUCCGUCUGACGCUGCAUGCUUUCGCGUCGUGUGCUUGCCGUGCGUGGUGUUGUCUUUCGGGAUGAUGCUGUUGUGUGGCUGUGUGUGGUGUGGGGUGUGUGGUGAGCAUUGGGGUGACGCAGGGAGGUAGUUGCUGCACACUGGUGGUUAUGUGUGUCUAAGGUUGUGGCCUGUUUCUUGGGUGAAAUCCGGGAAGCUGCGUUUGAUCGCGUGGGUGAGGGCUGAUGGGGCUGCCUGUUGGGGUGGCUAGUGGUGAUCCUGUACUGCCGAGAAAAGCCUGGAUGUGAGGAAGAUGAGCGCCCGUACCCUAAACCGACUCUGGUGGUCAGGUAGAGUAUACCGAGGCGUGCGAGUGAAUCAUGGUUAAGGAAUUCGGCAAAUUGCCCCCGUAACUUUGGGAUAAGGGGGGCCCUGCUGGUGUGCCUGCUUUUGCGUGGGUGGUGCUGGUUGGGGUCGCAGAGAAUUGGGAGAAGCGACUGUUUAUUAAAAACAUAGGUGUGUGCUAAGCCGUAAGGCGCUGUAUACGCACUGACGCCUGCCCGGUGCUGGAAGGUUAAGAGGACGACUUAACUGCUUUUUUGUGGUGAAGGUUUGAAUUUAAGCCCCAGUAAACGGCGGUGGUAACUAUAACCAUCCUAAGGUAGCGAAAUUCCUUGUCGGGUAAGUUCCGACCUGCACGAAUGGCGUAACGACUUCUCCGCUGUCUCGACCGUGAUCUCGGUGAAAUUGCAGUACGAGUAAAGAUGCUCGUUUCGCGCAGCAGGACGGAAAGACCCCGGGACCUUUACUAUAGCUUGGUAUUGGUGUGUGUUUGUGCUUGUGUAGGAUAGGUGGGAGACUGUGAUGCCGUGCCGCUAGGUGUGGUGGAGUCGUUGGUGAAAUACCAUUCUGGUUCAAGUAUGCAUCUAACUUGGAGCCCUGAUCGGGUUUGGGGACAGUGCCUGGUGGGUAGUUUAACUGGGGCGGUUGCCUCCUAAAGGGUAACGGAGGCGCUCAAAGGUUCUCUCAGCCUGGUUGGUGAUCAGGUGGUGAGUGUAAGUGCACAAGAGGGCUUGACUGUGACACUGACGGGUGGAGCAGGUACGAAAGUAGGAACUAGUGAUCCGGCCAUGGCUUGUGGAAGCGUGGUCGCUCAACGGAUAAAAGGUACCCCGGGGAUAACAGGCUGAUCUUGCCCAAGAGUCCAUAUCGACGGCAUGGUUUGGCACCUCGAUGUCGGCUCGUCGCAUCCUGGGGCUGGAGUUGGUCCCAAGGGUUGGGCUGUUCGCCCAUUAAAGCGGUACGCGAGCUGGGUUUAGAACGUCGUGAGACAGUUCGGUCCCUAUCCGCUGCGCGCGUUGGAAACUUGAUGAAGGCCCGUCCCUAGUACGAGAGGACCGGGAUGGACGAACCUCUGGUGUGCCAGUUGUACUGCCAGGUGCAUUGCUGGUUGGCUACGUUCGGUUGGGAUAACCGCUGAAAGCAUCUAAGCGGGAAGCUUUCUUCGAGAUGAGGUUUCCGUGCCCCCGUUGU